AUAAAUGGCAAUGGCACCCGAUACUGAUCUUUUUCUGAUUUCAGGAGCAUAGCAGGGUCAAGUCUGGUUAAUCCUCAAGUAAGUGAUUACCUGGGAAUACUAGGUGCUGUAAAUC
rnacentral:rRNA from 1 species